rnacentral:rRNA from 1 species
CGGGUAGAGUAACACGUGAGUAACCUGCCCUUGACUCUGGGAUAAGCCUGGGAAACUGGGUCUAAUACCGGAUAUGACUCCUCAUCGCAUGGUGGGGGGUGGAAAGCUUUUGUGGUUUUGGAUGGACUCGCGGCCUAUCAGCUUGUUGGUGAGGUAAUGGCUCACCAAGGCGACGACGGGUAGCCGGCCUGAGAGGGUGACCGGCCACACUGGGACUGAGACACGGCCCAG